CUCGGUCCUUCCGUGCUGUCAUCUCUUUUUUCAUUCUCUCGUGCCUGUAAAUGUCCUCGAUUUCCUGACAAGGCGAAUGAAUAACCUGGAGCGAGCCGGACUCUUGAAAACUGGCGCUUCGAGGCUGAAGGCUUGUGUGCUUGGCGAAGCCUAAAACAGUCUUUUCUGCGGGGUGGCCAUUUCGAUGCCGACCCCGAUAGAAGAGUCCUUUUAACCAAGAACACGAAGAAGCAGAUCUCAACGAAGCAUUUCCGGGAAAUACGACGAUCUCACGUCCAAUGACCUCUGUAUAUGAACACAGUGAAGCGGGGUGCUGGAGACACAAAGUCGGUUAGCUGUCGGCGUCAAGUUCGCGCGCACAUCUUUGAAUUUAAAGCGAACUAGAGAGAAAGAAGUUGGAUUCAUGAGAUGCGAUUGGUCGAGAGAUAAGCCGACCAACAGUUAGAACUGUUGGACGAGAUGACCCUACACUCGGAAGGUCCGCACUUUGAUGCUUCAUGGACGUCAGCACGGAUGUAACUAUCGACAAAGUAUUAAUAAUACCACCAAUGUGCUGUGCAAAAACUACAAGAUCCAAAAGGAUCUUAAUCCAUUUUUACAACUGUGCACUGUUUCUAAGAGGAAGAAAACACCUUUACUUUUCGUCUGUAGGAAGCUUUGCAACUUAUGUAAUGUUGGGCCGCACGCACCGUUCUCUGUCCGUUUCAGACAGAACCCUGGCCUAAUCCGUUCACGGAUUCUCCGCUUUUGGCUCACACCGGUCGCAGACCUCUGUGCAUGAGGCAGCCUAACUUCAUGUAGGAAAAGAGCGAGUCGAUCAAUUUCUCUACAGAAGAACACCAAGUGAAGAAGUGCGGAAGAUCUGCAGCAGUAAUAAUGGGAGAGACUAGUCUGAC